GCCAGACUCCUACGGGAGGCAGCAGUGGGGGAUAUUGCACAAUGGGGGAAACCCUGAUGCAGCGACGCCGCGUGGGUGAAGAAGCGCCUCGGCGCGUAAAGCCCUGUCAGCAGGGAAGAAAAUGACGGUACCUGAAGAAGAAGCCCCGGCUAACUACGUGCCAGCAGCCGCGGUAAUACGUAGGGGGCAAGCGUUAUCCGGAUUUACUGGGUGUAAAGGGAGCGUAGACGGCCAGACAAGUCUGAAGUGAAAAUCCAGCGCUUAACGUUGGAAGUGCUUUGGAAACUGCCGGGCUAGAGUGCAGGAGGGGCAGGCGGAAUUCCUAGUGUAGCGGUGAAAUGCGUAGAUAUUAGGAGGAACACCAGUGGCGAAGGCGGCCUGCUGGACUGCAACUGACGUUGAGGCUCGAAGGCGUGGGGAGCAAACAGGAUUAGAUACCCUGGUA
rnacentral:rRNA from 1 species